CUGUUUCCUGGCAACCAGCUCACUACUCCCUGAAGGGCACUUUCAAGAAAGUUCAAUCAAUGGAAGGGUCAAAUGUUUUCUUUUUCAAACGUCCAUUUUGCAUGUAAUGGCUGCUCCAUGCAGAGUUUACGGGUGUUCUCUUGUUCAUGAGAUCUAGCGUCCUUCUGCACAAAUGCAUGUGCUAUGGGUAAGAAAUUACUUCAACUGAGUUUAUUGGCAUUUCUUAGAGCAUAUGAGUUCAAAGAAAAUUAUUACAGAAAGACGCCCAUUGGUGUAGGAGUCUGCCUGAAACAAGACGCUAAACCGCCUGAGCAGCUAGGCCGCUAAUGAAUGCCUCUCCUCCCCAAGAAGCAAACGCUCCUGCUGCUCCCAGCUGUUUGGUAGGCUCCGACCUGCUACUGUCAGGUAACAAGAAGCCACAUCCUGAUUCGCAUCCUCCUCCCGAAACCCUGCAACUUCCUGAAUUCCCGUGCUCCUCAGGCGGGACUUCCUGUUGGAGAUGGAGCUAAAGAAGCUGAAAAACUCCUCCAUCCUUCCUAAGAUAGAUCUCAUUUAUGCAUGAGGUCAGACAAAUUUCCCUAAUGCUGCCCUUGAGGGGAUAUCCGGGGAUAACAAAGGCUGUCUUCCAUGCCUCUCCCCGAAUCGAGAUGUAAACCAGAAAACAUAAAAUAAAAAGCCAAAAAUCAUUCCAAAAAGUCGACAUUAAAUUGACAAAAAGACCCCGU
rnacentral:lncRNA from 1 species